rnacentral:rRNA from 1 species
CCUACGGGAGGCAGCAGUGGGGAAUAUUGCACAAUGGGGGGAACCCUGCUGCAGCGACGCCGCGUGGGUGAAGGAGUAUUUCGGUAUGUAAAGCCCUAUCAGCAGGGAAGAACAAUGACGGUACCUUACUAAUAAGCACCUGCUAAAUACGGACCAGCAGCCACGGUAAUACGUAUGGUGCAAGCGUUAUCCGGAAUUACUGGGGGUAAAGGGAGCGCAGGCGGCGCGUUAAGCCUGGUGUGAAAGCCCGCGGCCCAACCGCGGGACUGCAUUGGGAACUGGCGCGCUGGAGUGCCGGAGGGGUAGGCGGAAUGCCGAGUGUAGCGGUGAAAUGCGUAGAUAUUAGGUGGAACACCAGUGGCGAAGGCGGCCUACUGGACGGUGACUGACGCUGAGGCUCGAAAGCGUGGGGAGCAAACAGGAUUAGAUACCCGGGUAGUC